AUUCUGCCCAUACGGGGAAGGAUGAGAAGCUUCGACCAAGGUUCGACUCAAGCGCCAGCGAGAGAGCGUUGCCGCAGGCAACGACCCGCAGCGCUGAGUAAUCCUUCCCCCACCACCC
rnacentral:sRNA from 1 species